AUUGAACGCUGGCGGCAGGCCUAACACAUGCAAGUCGAGCGGAUGAAGGGAGCUUGCUCCUGGAUUCAGCGGCGGACGGGUGAGUAAUGCCUAGGAAUCUGCCUGGUAGUGGGGGAUAACGUCCGGACACGGGCGCUAAUACCGCAUACGUCCUGAGGGAGAAAGUGGGGGAUCUUCGGACCUCACGCUAUCAGAUGAGCCUAGGUCGGAUUAGCUAGUUGGUGGGGUAAAGGCCUACCAAGGCGACGAUCCGUAACUGGUCUGAGAGGAUGAUCAGUCACACUGGAACUGAGACACGGUCCAGACUCCUACAGGAGGCAGCAGUGGGGAAUAUUGGACAAUGGGCGAAAGCCUGAUCCAGCCAUGCCGCGUGUGUGAAGAAGGUCUUCGGAUUGUAAAGCACUUUAAGUUGGGAGGAAGGGCAGUAAGUUAAUACCUUGAUGUUUUGACGUUACCAACAGAAUAAGCACCGGCUAACUUCGUG
rnacentral:rRNA from 1 species